UCUCUGCCCUCUGCCCUCCGCCCUCCCAUCCCCAGCAAGAGGAUCCGGUGAGGCCCCGGAGGUGGGAGGUCCCUUGGGUAGCCUGAACUGGUACCAGGGCUUUCAGUAGUAUUUUAAAUCCAAGGAGGCUUCCAAUGGCGCCAGCAGAUCCCAGUCCCCAAAUGCAGCCUUUUGGUCCUGCCCGGGUUGUGGUUUCAACUGUGAUUUUCAGGGAGGAAGUCCCAGAACUGCAGUUUUGACUCCAAACCUAGCUGCCCCUCACGUCACCAGGGAGAAAAACCGUGAGUCACAGACAUGGAGGGGAUAGACGCCAUCCUGCAACAGGAAGCACAGGAGACAGAGGAACAUGGUGACCUGGGGAUGGAAUCAGCCUCGUCCAGAGCACAAGAGACUCCAGUUUCUUCAACCAAAACAAGAUGGAGGGAAAGAGGGACAGGAAACUUGAAGAUAAGGAGAAUGAAAACAUGCCCCUUGUUUGAGUCUGACUUGGAAGAAAUCAACCAAAAAGACAUGAGAGACAGGGGAAAUGGAACUCUGGCUGGGUUUGGGGUAUCACUUUUGAAGGUAUGACAGUGGUUAUGUAUAGAAAGGAAGACACACUGGGGCAUCAGUGGACAGAAGGGAUGAUGCCUGGGGUUUGCUUUAAAACAGCCCGGGGUGGGGGUCGUUAGAGACACAGGGCUGGUAACUGUUGAACCUGGGUGAUGGGUAUGUGGGUGUUUGUUUUACUAAUUUAUCUACUCUUCUGUA